AAACAUCAAAAAGCCAUCUAUGAUAAAGCUGGUAUCGGUUUCAAUCCUAACGAAAAAUAAAAGUUCUUAAAAAAUCUUUAUAUUAGUUCUUUAUUACAUAUCACCUCACAUGUCACAUGUUUCAGUGGUGGUAGAGUAGGACACAAAGCAUAUAUAUGUAACAUAGAAAAAUCUGAUGGAAAAAUAGUUUAAAAGAUUUGGAUUCCAAAAGAAAUUAUGAUUGCUAACCCUAAAGGAUCUGAGA
rnacentral:lncRNA from 1 species